CAAUAGCGUAUAUUAAAGUUGUUGCAGUUAAAAGCUCGUAGUUGGAUCUCAGGUCCAGGCUUGCGGUCCACUCCUUGGUGGCUACUGCUCGUCCUGACCUACCUCCCGGUUUUACCCUUGGUGCUCUUGAUUGAGUGUCUCGGGUGGCCGGAACAUUUACUUUGAAAAAUUAGAGUGUUCAAAGCAGGCAAUUCGCCUGAAUAAUGGUGCAUGGAAUAAUGGAAUAGGACCUCGGUUCUAUUUUGUUGGUUUUCGGAACUUGAGGUAAUGAUUAAGAGGGACAGACGGGGCAUUCGUAUUCCGUCGAGAGAGGUGAAAUUCUUGGAUCGCCGUAAGACGAACUACUGCGAAAGCAUUUGCCAAGGAUGUUUUCAUUGAUCAAGAACGAAAGUUAGGGGAUCGAAGACGAUCAGAUACCG
rnacentral:rRNA from 1 species